rnacentral:rRNA from 1 species
UACGUAGGGGGCUAGCGUUGUUCGGAUUUAUUGGGCGUAAAGAGCGUGUAGGCGGCCAAGUAGGUCCGGUGUGAAAACUCGAGGCUUAACCUCGAGAUGUCAUCGGAAACCAUUUGGCUAGAGUCCGGAAGAGGAAAGUGGAAUUCCUGGUGUAGCGGUGAAAUGCGCAGAUAUCAGGAGGAACACCGAUGGCGAAGGCAGGUCUCUGGGCCACUACUGACGCUGAGAAGCGAAAGCAUGGGGAGCGAACAGG